UACGGAGGGGGCUAGCGUUGUUCGGAAUUACUGGGCGUAAAGCGCACGUAGGCGGCUUUGUAAGUUAGAGGUGAAAGCCCGGGGCUCAACUCCGGAAUUGCCUUUAAGACUGCAUCGCUAGAAUUGUGGAGAGGUAAGUGGAAUUCCGAGUGUAGAGGUGAAAUUCGUAGAUAUUCGGAAGAACGCCGGUGGCGAAAGCGACGUGCUGGACACCUACUGACGCUGAGGCGCGAAAGCCAGGGGAGCAAACGGG
rnacentral:rRNA from 1 species